CGUCUCAGUAAAGGACUUCGUCUCCUCAAUCUGUCCAAGACAUCACUCACCUCGAAAGGUGUGGUGUCUCUCUCUCAGGCUCUGUGCUCUGCUGAUGAAUACUCCAACUCCCUUCUGCACCUGGACCUGAGCAAGAACCCCGGGGUCCUCUCCGGGGACGAUGCCUCGAACUUGUAUCUGUUCUUGUCCCAGCCCAACUGCCUGGUCC